rnacentral:rRNA from 1 species
AUACGGAGGAUGCAAGCGUUAUCCGGAUUUAUUGGGUUUAAAGGGUGCGUAGGCGGAUGAUUAAGCGUGAGGUGAAAUGCCACUGCUCAACAGUGGAACUGCCUCGCGAACUGGUUGUCUUGAAUGCUCCUGCCGUGGGAGGAAUGUGUGGUGUAGCGGUGAAAUGCAUAGAGAUCACACAGAACACCGAUUGCGAAGGCAUCUCACGAAGGGGUGAUUGACGCUGAGGCACGAAAGCGUGGGGAUCAAACAGGAUUAGAUACCCUGGUAGUCCACGCAGUAAACGAUGAUAACUAACCGCUGGGUCGUAGUGAUUCAGUGGCCAAGCGAAAGCGAUAAGCCAUCCACCUGGGGAGUACGACCGCAAGGUUGAAACUCAAAUGAAUUGACGGGG